GAUUAACGCUGGCGGCGUGCUUAACACAUGCAAGUCGAACGGUGAAGGCGGAGCUUGCUCUGCUGGAUCAGUGGCGAACGGGUGAGUAACACGUGAGCAAUCUGCCCCUGACUCUGGGAUAAGCGCUGGAAACGGCGUCUAAUACUGGAUACGAGCUGCGAAGGCAUCUUCAGCAGCUGGAAAGAACUUCGGUCAGGGAUGAGCUCGCGGCCUAUCAGCUUGUUGGUGAGGUAACGGCUCACCAAGGCGUCGACGGGUAGCCGGCCUGAGAGGGUGACCGGCCACACUGGGACUGAGACACGGCCCAGACUCCUACGGGAGGCAGCAGUGGGGAAUAUUGCACAAUGGGCGAAAGCCUGAUGCAGCAACGCCGCGUGAGGGACGACGGCCUUCGGGUUGUAAACCUCUUUUAGCAGGGAAGAAGCGAAAGUGACGGUACCUGCAGAAAAAGCGCCGGCUAACUACGUG
rnacentral:rRNA from 1 species